CAUAUUCUCAAAAAUGGGAAAUAUAUCUUUGUACCUCUUAGAGCACCUUCCUUCAUCCUGGAUAAAUAUAUUUGUGAGAAUUUGUGGUCGCUGCUCGUGUAGCUGGGCUUACCACUUGUAUAUGUCCUUGGCCCUGCUGACCAUUGGUGAGGACUCCUGGAGCCCCGAAGAAGGGAGGCUGACCACUCUGAGGUUGGUGUCCGGGGUGUGUGAAACCCAGAGGUUGUGAAGACCCAAGAGUCGUGGUGUUGCUUGGUGGAGCCUUUUAAGUUAGAUGAACAAAAUUGGAAAAUGUAGAUAAGAAAAAAGAGGAGAAAGAAAAAAAGUAUUCAUAUUUCCACCAGCC